rnacentral:rRNA from 1 species
CACGUAGGGGACGAGCGUUGUCCGGAUUCAUUGGGCGUAAAGCGCGCGUAGGCGGCUCGGAAAGUCGGUCGUGAAAUGCCGGGGCUCAACCCCGGGACUGCGUCCGAUACUCCCGAGCUGGAGGCAGGUAGGGGAGAUCGGAAUUCCUGGUGUAGCGGUGAAAUGCGCAGAUAUCAGGAGGAACAUCAGUGGCGAAAGCGGCUUCCUGGACCAGCACCGACGUUCAGGCACGAAAGCGUGGGGAGCAAACAGG